rnacentral:rRNA from 1 species
AGUGAACGCUGGCGGUAGGCCUAACACAUGCAAGUCGAACGGCAGCACAGUAAGCGCUUGCUCUUACGGGUGGCGAGUGGCGGACGGGUGAGGAAUACCUCGGAAUCUACUUUUUCGUGGGGGCUAACGUAGGGAAACUUACGCUAAUACCACAUACGACCUCCGGGUGAAAGCAGGGGAUCUUCGGACCUUGCGCGAUUGCUUGAGCCGAUGUCGGGUUAGCUAGUUGGCGGGGUAAAGGCCCACCUAGGCGAGGAUCCGUCGCCGGUCUGAGAGGGGGAUGAGCCACUCUGGGACUGAGAGACGGUCCAGACUCCUACGGGAGGCAGCAGUGGGGAAUAUUGCACAAAGGGCGCAAGCCUGACCCAGCCAUACCGCGUGGGUGAAGAAGGGCUUCGGGUUGUAAAGCCCUUUUGUUGGGAAAGAAAAGCAUCAGGUUAGUACACCGCUGGUCUGACGGUACCCAAAGAAUAAGCACCGGCUAACUUCGUG